GGUUUUUGUUCUUUAUUUUGGUUUGGCCAGGGUGUUACAUUGUGUGGGCGUUCUAUGUUCAUUUUUCUAUGUUUUUGUAUUUCUUUGUUUUGGGCCGUGUGUGGCUCCCAAUCAGGCACAGCUGUAGUUCGUUGUUGCUGAUUGGGAGUCACACAUAAGGAGCCUGUUUUUCCUUUGGGUUUCGUGGGGGAUUGUUUCUGUUUCAGGUUUGCACCUGACAGUACAGUUUGGCUGUCGGUUUUCUUGUUUUUGUAUAGUGUUCACGUUGUUUAAUAAAUGCCUGAAGAUGAACACUAACUCCGCUGCACCCUGGUCUACUCUCUCUUCCGACGGCCGUUACACACCCACAAAACCCCAUGAAAAACAGGCUGCCUAAGUAUGGCUUCCAAUCAGAGACAACGAAAAACACCUGCCUCUGAUUGGAAACCAUACACCGGCCACAACAUAGAAAAUACAACAUAGAACGACAAUCUAGACAACCCACAUAGAAAACAGAAAACCCCAAAUACAUAGACAAAAACACCCCCCUGUCACGCCCUGACCAAUCUACUAUGGAAAAAUGACCUCAUACUAAGGUCAGAACGUGACAGUACCCCCCCCCCCUUCCUCUUCUCCCGAUCCUCCAGCAACGGAGGUGGCUCUGGCUCAGGGCGAAACCUCCAUUCCGCCCGUAGAUUCCUCUGCUUCUGUAACAUAAGCCUGUAGAUCAUCAUUGGAGGAAUCGGAUUGUAGAUACUUAUCGGAAUCACUUUGCUGUAGACCACUACUGGAGGUUCCGACCUCCAAGCCGCCGCUGAAGGCUCUGGGCUGCAGACCUCCGCUGAAGGCUCUGGGCUGCAGACCUCCGCUGAAGGCUCUGGGCUGCAGACCACUACUGAAGGCUAUGGGCUGCAGACCUCUGCUGAAGGCUCUGGGCUGUGAGGCGUCGCUGGAGGUCCCGGACUGGGAAGCGUCGCUGGAGGCUCCGGACUAGGAGGUGUCAUCAUCGGUUCCGGACUUAUGACCGUUGCUACUGACUCCAUGCCAUGGAUAAUUUCAAUAGGUUCCUCGCCAAGGAUCAUCCUUAUGGGCGUCGGACCAUUGACUAUCACUGGAGGCUUUUUACGAGGAGCAGGAAUCGGUCUCACCGGACUGGGGAGACGCACUAAGGCCCGAGUGCUCACAGCAGGCACUGGCCGUACCGGGUUAUGGAUGCAUACUGGAGGCUUUUUACGAGGCACAGGAAUCGGUCUCACCGGACUGGGGAGACGCCCUAAGGGCCGAGUGCUCACAGCAGGCACUGGCUGUACCGGGUUAUGAAUGCGCACUGGAGGGAGAGUGCGAGGAGCAGGAAUCGGUCUCACCGGACUGGGGAGACGCACAAAGGGCCGAGUACUCACAGCAGGCACUGGCUGUACCGGGUUAUGGAUGCGCACUGGAGGAAGAGUGUGAGGAGCAGGAAUCGGUCUCAACGGACUGGGGAGACGCACGACUAUGGAAAAAUGACCUCAUACUAAGGUCAGAACGUGACAGGUUGACAUUUUCAUACCUCCAAUGAAGUUUUAAAAAGUGUAUGUAAAUCACAUUACUGUGAUACAGUAAGGUGGUAUACCUUACCAUAUGUAUAAAAUCAUCUUCAUAUUAUAUAGGCAUGUGUAAAAUGCCCAAAAUGUAAAGAACAUUUGAAUUUGCAUCAUGUGAACUUAACAUGAGGAACAUGAAUGACAUUUACUCUCACGGGUGGCCAAUAAGAGCUAGCUGAAAGAUAUUCCCCCAAUAAACCAGGCGUCCUGAAGGUAGCCUAUGGAUUACAUUCAAAAAUUUCCAAUUGAUGACUAAAUCAAUCCAUGUUUGAGUAAUCCCAACCACUCAACGUGUUGGGUUAUUCACGCAACCCAACCGGCUGGGUCAAAAUAACCCAACAUGUACUGUCCACCAUUUAAGCAGUCCUGGGUUACCAAAUAAUCCAAAUUGGGUUGUUUUUAGAUGAUCAUUUUUUAGAGUGCAGUCCUAUCAUGUGACUCAGAGGACAGUCGUGCUGACACUAGGACAGUAAUGAUAAGGUAGUUAGUUACAAGGCGGGGUUAAUUGCUGUCUUUGUAAAGAGAUUGCCUAAUAGCCGUAUAAAAGGGGGAUACGGGCGGUUAAACAUGAUCAAAGCAGGGUCACUAUGUAGGGGGC
rnacentral:lncRNA from 1 species